GACGAACGCUGGCGGCGUGCUUAACACAUGCAAGUCGAACGGAAAGGCCCUGCUUUUGUGGGGUGCUCGAGUGGCGAACGGGUGAGUAACACGUGAGUAACCUGCCCUUGACUUUGGGAUAACUUCAGGAAACUGGGGCUAAUACCGGAUAGGAGCUCCUGCUGCAUGGUGGGGGUUGGAAAGUUUCGGCGGUUGGGGAUGGACUCGCGGCUUAUCAGCUUGUUGGUGGGGUAGUGGCUUACCAAGGGUUUGACGGGUAGCCGGCCUGAGAGGGUGACCGGCCACAUUGGGACUGAGGUACGGCCCAGACUCCUACGGGAGGCAGCAGUGGGGAGUAUUGCACAAUGGGCGGAAGCCGGAUGCAGAAACGCCGCGGGCGGGAUGACGGCCUUCGGGUUGUAAACCGCUUUCGCCUGUGACGAAGCGUGAGUGACGGUAAUGGGUAAAGAAGCACCGGCUAACUACGUG
rnacentral:rRNA from 1 species